rnacentral:rRNA from 1 species
GACGAACGCUGGCGGCGUGCCUAACACAUGCAAGUCGAACGGAAAGGCCCUGCUUUUGUGGGGUGCUCGAGUGGCGAACGGGUGAGUAACACGUGAGUAACCUGCCCUUGACUUUGGGAUAACUUCAGGAAACUGGGGCUAAUACCGGAUAGGAGCUCCUGCUGCAUGGUGGGGGUUGGAAAGUUUCGGCGGCUGGGGUUGGACUCGCGGCUUAUUAGCUUGUUGGUGGGGUAGUGGCUUACCAUGGCUUUGACGGGUAGCCGGCCUGAGAGGGUGACCGGGGACAAUAGGACUGAGGGAGGGCCCAGUGGGCAACUUGAGGCAAGGGGGGGAAGCAUGACACAAUGGGGGGAAGCGUGAUACAACAACGCCGGGUGCGGAAAGACGGCCUGCGGGGGAUAAACCGCUUUCGGCUGAGACGAAGCGUGAGUGACGGUAACGGAUAAAGAAGCACCGGCUAACUACGUG